CCACUUUUGGAAAACUAAAAGUUAUAAAAUAAAAGGUUUGGAAAACAAAAGGUUAUAAAAUUAAAAGUUUGGAAAAGCAGAAGUUAGAAAAUUAAAAGUAAGAAAAUCAAAAGUUUAUAAAAUUAAAAGUAAAAGGUAAAAAAAAGUUUGGAAAACAAAAGGUUAAGAUGUUAAGAAAAAUAAAAAUCUGCUUUCGUAUCGUAAAUUAACGUCCUAGC
rnacentral:lncRNA from 1 species